GCCGAGGUGCUGGCGGGACCGAUCGGUGGCGCAGCUGUGAGGCACUGUGGCGCGUUCUCAUGUACAGGCGCGGCUGGGACCGAACGGAGUUAAUGCGGGAGAGAAGUGGAGCGGAGUGAGCAGCAGCAGGCGUGCAGAAGCUUAAAGUGUAGAGAUUUGUCUGCUGCUGUUGAAGAUCUUCUCCAAAAAUGGGAAGAACUACAUGUGACAGCAGCUGCCAUUUUUUGAGGACAUGUUCCAUCCUGCAAGAUGUCUUUUUCACAAAGCAGUAUAUUUUCUUCAUCACCACGACAACGCACUUCACUCCAGUAAACAGGAAUAAGGCCCAGUCCAGAAAAUGUUAAUCCAUCUGCCUUUGUUCUGUGAUCUACUUAAAAUCAGAAGCUACACCGUCAUCCAAUUUGCAGAUGUUUUAGCAACUGGAGAAAACAGUCAAUUAUUGUGCCUGCAUUUCAUAGUUAUAUGUGUUCCUGUAUGCGUCAAUAACAACAACAAUAGAAUACAGUGACAACAGGGGAAGAAUUUAUCCACAUAUACAGAGCAAAGGAUAGCACAAGACAAAACUUUUACACAUCAGAAACUCUUUCCCCAACAUGUCAAAAUGAAAGAAAUCUGAAGUCCUCUGCAUCUCCAGCAGAAGCCUUAGGAAAGAAGAUUGAAAAGCAGAGUUCUGACUGUGGACACAUACCAUUAAACUAUUAAGAAAAUAGCCUUUCCCUCUCCACCCACUCUCCUAAAGAACCCCGGGUGACAUCUGGUCCCUGUUGAAGUGGGAAAACACACUACUGGUAUCAGUUGGUAGGGAAAAGAAAAUUACUGGAAAGGACACUGCUAUAUUUCCACAGGCCUGUGAAAAAAGACAUAGAUUAAAACAAUAAAUCAGAGAUUUUUAAAAAAAAUUUAUCUAAUAUCUCAACAAAAUAUUUUGGUUUGCCUUUUUCCUGGAGAUUUACUACUGCAUGUAGAAACACCAAUGUUUUAUGUUGGGUAGUAGAAUUCAAAACAUAUCUUAUUCAUCUCUCAAGAAAGUAAGAUAAAGAACCAGCUUCUAUGAUAUAGAAAACACAUAAGAUGAUUGUUAAAAGUAAUUUUGUAAUGAAUUUAAAAUGUGAUUUUCACCCGAUAAGUUAAUCUAGAAAGAAAU